rnacentral:rRNA from 1 species
UACAGAGGUCUCAAGCGUUGUCCGGAUUCAUUGGGCGUAAAGAGCGUGUAGGCGGCCAGGUAGGUCUGCUGUGAAAACUCGAGGCUCAACCUCGAGACGUCGGCGGAAACCAUCUGGCUAGAGUCCGGAAGAGGAGAGUGGAAUUCCUGGUGUAACGGUGAAAUGCGCAGAUAUCAGGAAGAACACCCGUGGCGAAGGCGGCUCUCUGGGACGGUACUGACGCUGAGACGCGAAAGCGUGGAGAGCGAACAGG